rnacentral:rRNA from 1 species
UACGUAGGUGGCAAGCGUUGUCCGGAUUUACUGGGCGUAAAGGGUGCGUAGGCGGUCUGUUAAGUUGGAUGUGAAAACUCUGGGCUCAACCCAGAGCCUGCAUCCAAAACUGGCAGGCUAGAGUUCUGGAGGGGGUAGCGGAAUUCCUGGUGUAGCGGUGAAAUGCGUAGAUAUCAGGAGGAACACCGGUGGCGAAGGCGGCUACCUGGGCCUUACCUGACGCUGAGGAGCGAAAGCGUGGGUAGCGAACAGG